CGAGCCUCUGGAGAGACUCAUUUUUAAAAUGAGCACCGAAGGAGCAAGGCAAAGAAAUUUGCUCAAACUCUCAGGUAAAAGGACAGGGGAUAG
rnacentral:ncRNA from 1 species